rnacentral:SRP_RNA from 1 species
GGCCGGGGCCUGUACGGCAGUUCGCCGCGAACCAUGUCAGGCGGGGAACCGAGCAGCAUUAAGCGGAUGCUUCUGUGCGUUGCAGUAUCUCUGUCCGCC